CCCUCCAGAGAGGGUUAUCAUGGCCCCUAAGCAAAGAUGACAUACAAGAUUAGUUUCAAAUUUAG
rnacentral:snRNA from 1 species